rnacentral:lncRNA from 1 species
UCCCAUCUGCUGCAGCCCAGAGCCAGCCAGCCAGCGCUCCGACAAAAAUAGCUCCGGUUGCAUUUCAGGCUCUUGACCAGAGGAAUGCAGAUCAGCCACGCUUCUUGUCGUGAGUCGGGGUGCUCGGGCAGCCUCUCCGGCUGAGUGGGCACAGAGGAGUAGCCGGGUGCUUGCACCAGGGGGCCGCCCAGGGGGCCACAGGAGGAGGAAACAAGGGGUGCGCAGGUGCCAGGAGAAAGGUCGCCGCAGGGGCAAAUGACCCUGGGGGAGGGCGGGGCAGGAGCCCAGGAGGCCAUCUGUCCAGCAGGUUGGUCCCUGGGGGAGGCGUCAGGGGCAGGGCAGGGGCCUGGGAGGAGAGAGGCGGCCCGGGCGGUGUGGUGGGGGCCGCAGGGGCUGUGGGGUCAGGAGAAUUGAGGGUCCUCGGGGUGCUGCUGAGCCCCCAAGGCCUGGGUUGCACUGGGGCUGUCCUGCGGCGCCUGCUGACAGCCGCUUCCCAGCCCGGGGACAUCUCAGCCGCUGAGCCCUCUCCCCCCACCAGCGGGGCUCCCUGCCAUGCCAGACUCCAGGCCCCAAGCUCCUGGUAGGCCUGGAAGACAAAGGGGGGUGCCGUGGGGUCGCAGGUGGGGAAAGGUCAGGCGCCUUUGGCUACAGCGCCCCACCCACAGGCUAAGGACCGCCCGCCCGGCACACAGUAGGUGUUGCACACAGUAGGAGGAGCAUGCUGACCUGCACGGGGCCUCCUUCUCCCCCCUCGGGAAAGUUCUGGUUCCCCCGCCCCGCCCCCGUCUGGACAGUCCUUCCUGCAGCUUGUUUUAAUCACCUUUGGAGUUAAAAGUCAAUAUUUAAUUAACCAGGAAUCACAUUCAGCCUGCAUUGAGACUGGGCUCGGGGGGCUCCUCUGUGCGUGGCGGGACCGCCCCCUCAGCCCUCAGUCUGUCCCUGCCUCCUUUCCCCAUUGCCCCCCUUGGGGCGGAGCAGGGGGCUGCUCUGGGGUGGGUCCUGGGGGUGGCUUUCCCUGGGGGCCCCCGGCUGGGUCCCCUGCCUGUAGUUACAGGGAAGGGACCCCUCACUGUGACUGCACCUCCCCUCAAAGACCCUCCCAGGGUCCGAAUCAGAUGAGAGCGCUCCCUAAAGGCAGAGGCGGGGUGGGGGGUGUCCCUGGGCACUGUGGCCCCUCCCUGCAGACCCGGGCGUGGUUCAGCGGCUGUGGAGCAGCUCCCAGGGCCCUGGUGCAGGCUGCUUCUGCCUCGGCCAAGUUCACAGCCGUGAAGUCCCCGUGUUGGCAUCAGCACUGUGGCUGGGGCGUGAGUGGCUGACGCUGGACUGUGAAGAGGAGACCAGCUCUCACCGGCUCCAGAAGUGGAGGGUCAUCGCGACACCAAGAGCAGCGCAAAGCAUCCUUGAACCUUGGCAGGCGGCAGCCUGGCCUGAGGCUGGAGUGUUUCUGGCUGUGAGAAGAGCAGUGUUGAAGGAGAUGUGGCUCAGAGGCGUUGCCCUUGACCCACUCAGCAGGGCUGGCGCAGGCUCCGGCCUCACCGUUAAGACGCCCGAGUGCCACAUCGGAGGGCCUGGGGUCAGCGUCUGGCUCUGGCUCCUGAUUCCAGCUUCCUGCUGCUGCGAACCCUGGGAGGCAGCUGUGACUGACGCCCACAGGAGGGACCUGCACUAAGCUCCCAGCUCCUGGCACAGCCCCAGAAUCAUGGGUAUUUGGAGAGAGAACCAGCCAGUGGGACUUCUUUCUCUCUCCCUCUUUCUUUUUUUUCCCUCUGUCUCCCUCCCUCCCACUCAAAUAAAGUCAGCAGAGUAGAGACUAGAAAUGGCCA